GGGAAUUUUUUGGCAUUUUUAAAAAUGGUGCAGAAUAAGGGGUGGGCAAGUUUGGUGUCAGCCACCGCGGUAAUACCAGCACCCCGAGUGGUCGGGACGAUUAUUGGGCUUAAAGCAUCCGUAGCCGGUGUUGCAAGUCCUCCGUUAAAUCCAGCUGCUUAACAGAUGGGCUGCGGAGGAUACUACAAGGCUAGGAGGCGGGAGAGGCAAGCGGUACUCAGUGGGUAGGGGUAAAAUCCUUUGAUCCAUUGAAGACCACCAGUGGCGAAGGCGGCUUGCCAGAACGCGCUCGACGGUGAGGGAUGAAAGCUGGGGGAGCAAACCGGAUUAGAUACCCGGGUAGUCCCAGCUGUAAACGAUGCAGACUCGGUGAUGGGCCGGCUUUAUGCCAGCUCAGUGCCGCAGGGAAGCCGUUAAGUCUGCCGCCUGGGGAGUACGGUCGCAAGACUGAAACUUAA
rnacentral:rRNA from 1 species